GACGAACGCUGGCGGCGUGCUUAACACAUGCAAGUCGAACGGAAAGGCCCUGCUUUUGUGGGGUGCUCGAGUGGCGAACGGGUGAGUAACACGUGAGUAACCUGCCCUUGACUUUGGGAUAACGUCAGGAAACUGGGGCUAAUACCGGAUAGGAGCUCCUGCUGCAUGGUGGGGGUUGGAAAGUUUCGGCGGUUGGGGAUGGACUCGCGGCUUAUCAGCUUGUUGGUGGUGUAGUGGCUUACCAAGGCUUUGACGGGUAGCCGGCCUGAGAGGGUGACCGGCCACAUUGCGACUGAGAUACGGCCCAGACUCCUACGGGAGGCAGCAGUGGGGAAUAUUGCACAAUGGGCGGAAGCCUGCUGCAGCAACGCCGCGUGCGGUAUGACGGCCUUCGGGUUGUAAACCGCUUUCGCCUGUGACGAAGCGUGAGUGACGGUAAUGGGUAAAGAAGCACCGGCUAACUACGU
rnacentral:rRNA from 1 species